AGCGAACGCUGGCGGCGUACUUAACACAUGCAAGUCGAACGAGGAUCACUACGUGAGCAAUCAUGCGGCGGUUCUAGUGGCGUAUGGGUGAGUAACACGUGGGCAACCUGCCCUGGAGCCUGGGAUACCCUCUCGAAAGGGAGGCUAAUACCGGAUACGUUCCCCGGGUCGCGAGAUCUGGGGGAGGAAAGGUGGCGCAAGCUGCCGCUCUUGGAGGGGCUCGCGGCCUACAGCUAGUUGGUGAGGUAAUGGCUCACCAAGG
rnacentral:rRNA from 1 species